rfam:Gossypium raimondii Chr01_contig_17, whole genome shotgun sequence.
UAUUAAAAAUUUCAUCCAUUCUACAGUUAAAAACUGGCGUCACUGACAGAAUAGUCAAACAGUUACACAUAGUGUGCCACGUGUAUCUCAAGCUGACAUACAAGGAACAAUUUUUAACAGUAAAAAUUGAUGAAUUUUUUAACA